GAUGAACGCUGGCGGCGUGCUUAACACAUGCAAGUCGAACAGUGAAGCAGAGCUUGCUCUGUGGAUCAGUGGCGAACGGGUGAGUAACACGUGAGCAACCUGCCCCGGACUCUGGGAUAAGCGCUGGAAACGGCGUCUAAUACCGGAUACGCGAUUCCACCGCAUGGUGAGUUUCCGGAAAGAUUUUUUGGUCUGGGAGGGGCUCACGGCCUAUCAGCUUGUUGGUGAGGUAAUGGCUCACCAAGGCGUCGACGGGUAGCCGGCCUGAGAGGGUGACCGGCCACACUGGGACUGAGACACGGCCCAGACUCCUACGGGAGGCAGCAGUGGGGAAUAUUGCACAAUGGGCGGAAGCCUGAUGCAGCAACGCCGCGUGAGGGAUGACGGCCUUCGGGUUGUAAACCUCUUUUAGCAGGGAAGAAGCGAAAGUGACGGUACCUGCAGAAAAAGCGCCGGCUAACUACGUGCCAGCAGCCGCCGUAA
rnacentral:rRNA from 1 species